rnacentral:pre_miRNA from 1 species
GUAGUACUCCCUCCGUCCGGAAUUACUUGUCAUCAAAAUGGAUGAAAAUGGAUGUAUCUAGAACUAAAAUACAUUUAGAUACAUCCAUUUCAAUGACAAGUAUUUCCGGACGGAGGGAGUAUUUG